GAUGAACGCUAGCGGAAGGCAUAAUACAUGCAAGUCGAACGGAUGUAGCAAUACAUUAGUGGCGCACGGGUGCGUAACGCGUAUGCAACCUACCUUCAUCAGGGGGAUAACUACCCGAAAGGGUGGCUAACACCGCAUAAUACUAUUGAGUGGCAUCACUUGAUAUUUAAAUCUGAGGAGGAUGAAGAUGGGCAUGCGUCUGAUUAGCUAGUUGGUGUGGUACGGCGCACCAAGGCGACGAUCAGUAGGGGAACUGAGAGGUUGGUCCCCCACACUGGCACUGGGAUACGGGCCAGACUCCUACGGGAGGGAGAAGUGAGGAGUAUUGGUCAAUGGUGGGAACACUGAACCGGCCAUUCCGCGUGCAGGAAGAAGGGUCUCUGACUUGUAAACUGCUUUAGCAAGGGAAGAAAAAGCUCAUGCGUGAUAAAUUGACGGUACCUUGAGAAUAAGCACCGGCUAACUACGUGCCAGCAGCCGCCGUAAAAC
rnacentral:rRNA from 1 species